rnacentral:rRNA from 1 species
UACGUAGGUGGCGAGCGUUGUCCGGAAUUACUGGGUGUAAAGCGCGUGUAGGCGGAUGAGCAAGUCUGCUGUGAAAGCUCCUGGCUUAACCCGGGAGUGGUCGAUGGAAACUGCUCGUCUGGAGGACGGUAGAGGUAGGUAGAAUUCCCGGUGUAGUGGUGAAAUGCGUAGAUAUCGGAAGGAACACCGGUGGCGAAAGCGGCGCGCUGGAUCUCUUCUGACGCUGAGGC